UUGGUCCAGCCUGAGUAGUUGUCCACGGCCUGCCAGCCCUCCCACUGGUCCUCAGGGUCCUUAUGUCUGGGGUGGAAUUGUGUCCACCCAAAAGUCUUAUGUUGGAGCCCAACACUCAGUACCUCAGGACAGGAUCAUAGCUGGAGAGAGAGCCUUUACGGAGCUAUAGUGAAGUCAUAAGGAUGGGCUCUAAUAUGUGGGGUGUCCUUCUGAGAAGGGGACCUUUGGACACAGAGAGACACACAGGAAGAUCACUAUGUGGACAUGAAGAUGGCAUUGACAGACCAAGAGCGAGGCCAGAACAGAUUCUUCGUCAGCCCACGGAAGGAACAACCCUCGGGGCACCUGGAUCCUGGACUUCCGGCUUCCAGAACCAUGAGACAAUCCAUCCCUGUGGAUUUACUCACCCAGGUCAUAGUACUUUGUCAUGGCAGCUCCCAGAAACUAACCCACCUGGAGCCAGAACUGGACUCUCGUGUGUGUACACCACACUCCCCUCAGUACCCGAGUCUGAGGAGCAGACACUCAGGCAAGUAAAGGGACAGGUGAGGAAACCAAUGCUUAGAUUGUUGAAAUCAACCAUGGACACAGCGGGAUCUAAAUCUAAUGCAGCAGAACCCCAACACCCAGCCACACGCCCUGGAACCUGCGUGGGGCCCUACCUCACAGCAGCUUUACCAUGCACACCCCAGGGCCAGAAGUGA
rnacentral:lncRNA from 1 species